rnacentral:lncRNA from 1 species
GUGAGAUAAAUCCUAAGGGGGUACUAGGCUAAAAUUCAAAGAGACAAAAGAGACUUGAAAGAAACCGCGGGAGUUGAACUUACAAAAUAUUUCAUUCACUUCAACAACAACUCUAUAACAACUAUUUUCUCUUCUCCUUUCUCUUUUUUUUUUCUUUUUUCGAAGGAGUAUGUAUUGACAUGGAUUGAAAUCCUUCUAUUUUUUUUCUAUUUUCUCUUUCUAUUUUUCUUUUUCUUCCAACUUCUGAAAUAUUACAAACAUGACUAUUCAACUCCAAACAAGACACUUUCAACCAUUUGAAUAGGGUGAUAACAUUGUUUUUCACUUCUUGACUUUUAAUGAGUUUAAAAAAAAUAGGAUAAUAGGAUCAAGGGGGUUUCAAACAAGGGAUGAUAUUAUUUCAGGGUUGGCUUUUUG